rnacentral:rRNA from 1 species
UACAGAGGUCCCGAGCGUUGUUCGGAUUCACUGGGCGUAAAGGGUGCGUAGGUGGUGAGGUAAGUCGGAUGUGAAAUCUCCAGGCUCAACCUGGAAACUGCAUUGGAAACUACCUUGCUAGAGGGUUUGAGGGGGGACUGGAAUUCUCGGUGUAGCAGUGAAAUGCGUAGAUAUCGAGAGGAACACCAGUGGCGAAGGCGAGUCCCUGGAAAACACCUGACACUGAGGCACGAAAGCUAGGGGAGCAAACAGG